rnacentral:rRNA from 1 species
CCUACGGGAGGCAGCAGUGAGGAAUAUUGGUCAAUGGACGAGAGUCUGAACCAACCAAGUAGCGUGAAGGAUGAUUGCCCUAUGGGUUGUAAACUUCUUUUAUAUGGGAAUAAAAUGUUCCACGUGUGGGAUUUUGUAUGUACCAUAUGAAUAAGGAUCGGCUAACUCCGUGCCAGCAGCCGCGGUAAUACGGAGGAUCCGAGCGUUAUCCGGAUUUAUUGGGUUUAAAGGGAGCGUAGGUGGAUUGUUAAGUCAGUUGUGAAAGUUUGCGGCUCAACCGUAAAAUUGCAGUUGAAACUGGCAGUCUUGAGUACAGUAGAGGUGGGCGGAAUUCGUGGUGUAGCGGUGAAAUGCUUAGAUAUCACGAAGAACUCCGAUUGCGAAGGCAGUUCACUGGACUGCAACUGACACUGAGGCUCGAAAGUGUGGGUAUCAAACAGGAUUAGAUACCCUAGUAGUC